rnacentral:rRNA from 1 species
CCUACGGGUGGCAGCAGUGGGGAAUAUUGCACAAUGGGGGAAACCCUGAUGCAGCGACGCCGCGUGAGUGAAGAAGUAUCUCGGUACGUAAAGCUCUAUCAGCAGGGAAGAAAAUGACGGUACCUGACUAAGAAGCCACGGCUAACUACGUGCCAGCAGCCGCGGUAAUACGUAGGUGGCAAGCGUUAUCCGGAAUGACUGGGCGUAAAGGGUGCGUAGGUGGUUUAGUAAGUUGGCGGUGUAAUUCCGGGGCUCAACCUCGGCGCUACCGCCAAAACUAUUAGACUAGAGUGCAGGAGGGGUAAGUGGAAUUCCUAGUGUAGCGGUGGAAUGCGUAGAUAUUAGGAGGAACAUCAGGGGCGAAGGCGACUUACUGGACUGUAACUGACACUGAGGCACGAAAGCGUGGGGAGCAAACAAGAUUAGAUACCCGAGUAGUC